ACAGAGGUCUCAAGCGUUGUUCGGAUUCAUUGGGCGUAAAGGGUGCGUAGGCGGCGCGGUAAGUCGGGUGUGAAAUCUCGGAGCUUAACUUCGAAACUGCAUUCGAUACUGCCGUGCUUGAGGACUGGAGAGGAGACUGGAAUUUACGGUGUAGCGGUGAAAUGCGUAGAUAUCGUAAGGAAGACCAGUGGCGAAGGCGGGUCUCUGGACAGUUCCUGACGCUGAGGCACGAAGGCCAGGGGAGCAAACGGG
rnacentral:rRNA from 1 species